GACGAACGCUGGCGGCGUGCUUAACACAUGCAAGUCGAACGGAAAGGCCCUGCUUUUGUGGGGUGCUCGAGUGGCGAACGUGUGAGUAACACGUGAGUAACCUGCCCUUGACUUUGGGAUAACUUCAGGAAACUGGGGCUAAUACCGGAUAGGAGCUCCUGCUGCAUGGUGGGGGUUGGAAAGUUUCGGCGGUUGGGGAUGGACUCGCGGCUUAUCAGCUUGUUGGUGGGGUAGUGGCUUACCAAGGCUUUGACGGGUAGCCGGCCUGAGAGGGUGACCGGCCACAUUGGGACUGAGAGACGGCCCAGACUCCUACGGGAGGCAGCAGUGGGGAAUAUUGCACAAUGGGCGGAAGCGUGAUGAAGAAACGCCGCGUGCGGGAUGACGGCCUUCGGGUUGUAAACCGCUUUCGCCUGUGACGAAGCGUGAGUGACGGUAAUGGGUAAAGAAGCACCGGCUAACUACGUG
rnacentral:rRNA from 1 species